rnacentral:rRNA from 1 species
AUUGAACGCUGGCGGCAUGCCUUACACAUGCAAGUCGAACGGUAACAGGUUAAGCUGACGAGUGGCGAACGGGUGAGUAAUGUAUCGGAACGUGCCCAGUCGUGGGGGAUAACUGCUCGAAAGAGCAGCUAAUACCGCAUACGACCUGAGGGUGAAAGCGGGGGAUCGCAAGACCUCGCGCGAUUGGAGCGGCCGAUAUCAGAUUAGGUAGUUGGUGAGGUAAAGGCUCACCAAGCCGACGAUCUGUAGCUGGUCUGAGAGGACGACCAGCCACACUGGGACUGAGACACGGCCCAGACUCCUACGGGAGGCAGCAGUGGGGAAUUUUGGACAAUGGGUGCAAGCCUGAUCCAGCCAUGCCGCGUGCGGGAAGAAGGCCUUCGGGUUGUAAACCGCUUUUGUCAGGGAAGAAAAGGUUCUGGCUAAUACCUGGGACUCAUGACGGUACCUGAAGAAUAAGCACCGGCUAACUACGUG